AUUGAACGCUGGCGGCAUGCCUUACACAUGCAAGUCGAACGGCAGCACGGGUGCUUGCACCUGGUGGCGAGUGGCGAACGGGUGAGUAAUACAUCGGAACAUGUCCUGUAGUGGGGGAUAACCCGGCGAAAGCCGGAUUAAUACCGCAUACGAUCUACGGAUGAAAGCGGGGGCCCUUCGGGCCUCGCGCUAUAGGGUUGGCCGAUGGCUGAUUAGCUAGUUGGUGGGGUAAAGGCCUACCAAGGCGACGAUCAGUAGCUGGUCUGAGAGGACGACCAGCCACACUGGGACUGAGACACGGCCCAGACUCCUACGGGAGGCAGCAGUGGGGAAUUUUGGACAAUGGGCGAAAGCCUGAUCCAGCAAUGCCGCGUGUGUGAAGAAGGCCUUCGGGUUGUAAAGCACUUUUGUCCGGAAAGAAAUCCUUGGCUCUAAUACAGUCGGGGGAUGACGGUACCGGAAGAAUAAGCACCGGCUAACUACGUG
rnacentral:rRNA from 1 species